CAAUAGCGUAUAUUAAAGUUGUUGCAGGUAAAAAGCUCGUAGUUGGAUUUCUGGUGGGAGCGAUCGGUCUGGCGCUUAGCGCGAGUACUUGCAUCGUCUCCGGCCAUCCUUGGGGAGAGUCUGUCUGGCAUUAGGUUGUCGGGCAGAGGAUCCUCAUCGUUUACUGUGAAAAAAUUAGAGUGUUCAAAGCAGGCUUAUGCCGUUGAAUAUAUUAGCAUGGAAUAAUAAGAUAGGACUUUGGUACUAUUUUGUUGGUUUGCGCACCAAAGUAAUGAUUAAUAGGGACAGUUGGGGGUAUUCGUAUUCCGUUGUCAGAGGUGAAAUUCUUGGAUUUACGGAAGACGAACUACUGCGAAAGCAUUUACCAAGGAUGUUUUCAUUAA
rnacentral:rRNA from 1 species